CGAUAUGCACUCACUGUCGUUAUUUUAAUGUUUUUUUGUUUAUACAUAUUUACCAAUCCGUUUUCUAUAUUUCAAUAAUAGUUGUUAGGAAAAAAUGUCAGAGGAUAAAUCUAAAUAUUUAUAGUACGCUAUACUAUCUGCAAUUUAUAAGCUUCCGUCGCGAGGAUGCUAUUUUCGAAAAUCGAUCAAAACAAAAGCAAUACUUUCGGCAUUGUAAUUCGAAUCGUUACGCUUCCACAUCGUAUCACGUAUAUCUAUCUAACACUACGUCGGUGGGUCACCAGUGCCGCAACAACCAGCGGGGAGAACGACGAACAAUACGCGACUGCCGGUUGAAAUUAUGGCCCUACAUUAUAUGAUUUUCAGAUCUUUAAAAAUACAAUUAACAAUUCUCUAAACUUCAGGUAAUCUGAAGGGAGUAAUGGAUACGUUUACGAUCAAACAACGCAUUCACUAUGAUAACUCAAAACAUUUUAUUCGCACAGUUAUGGAUCAUAUUAUUGAGCACAAGUAAUAUUCAUGGACAAAAAUAUAAAUAAAUAAUACUUAAAAUAUAUUAUUAAACUCAUAAAAUGGCAAAAUAGAAGAUGUUAAACAGGUUUUAUCAAAUAAGACGUAUAAUGGAAUGAUAAAUAUAAUGGUUUUAAA